rnacentral:tRNA from 1 species
UCCCUGAUGGCUUGGUGGCAAAGAAUCUGCCUGCAGUGCAGGAGUCCAGGUUCGAUCCCUGGGUUGGGAA